rnacentral:rRNA from 1 species
GUAGCAAUACCCGCCGGCGACCGGCGCACGGGUGAGUAACGCGUAUGCAACUUACCUAUCAGAGGGGGAUAACCCGGCGAAAGUCGGACUAAUACCGCAUGAAGCAGGGGCCCCGCAUGGGGAUAUUUGCUAAAGAUUCAUCGCUGAUAGAUAGGCAUGCGUUCCAUUAGGCAGUUGGCGGGGUAACGGCCCACCAAACCGACGAUGGAUAGGGGUUCUGAGAGGAAGGUCCCCCACAUUGGUACUGAGACACGGACCAAACUCCUACGGGAGGCAGCAGUGAGGAAUAUUGGUCAAUGGCCGAGAGGCUGAACCAGCCAAGUCGCGUGAGGGAUGAAGGUUCUAUGGAUCGUAAACCUCUUUUAUAAGGGAAUAAAGUGCGGGACGUGUCCCGUUUUGUAUGUACCUUAUGAAUAAGGAUCGGCUAACUCCGUGCCAGCAGCCGCGGUAAUACGGAGGAUCCGAGCGUUAUCCGGAUUUAUUGGGUUUAAAGGGUGCGUAGGCGGCCUUUUAAGUCAGCGGUGAAAGUCUGUGGCUCAACCAUAGAAUUGCCGUUGAAACUGGGAGGCUUGAGUAUGUUUGAGGCAGGCGGAAUGCGUGGUGUAGCGGUGAAAUGCAUAGAUAUCACGCAGAACCCCGAUUGCGAAGGCAGCCUGCCAAGCCAUGACUGACGCUGAUGCACGAAAGCGUGGGGAUCAAACAGGAUUAGAUACCCUGGUAGUCCACGCAGUANACGAUGAUCACUAGCUGUUUGCGAUACAGUGUAAGCNGCACAGCGAAAGCG